UACGGAGGAUGCGAGUGUUAUCCGGAUUUAUUGGGUUUAAAGGGUGCGUAGGCGGGAUGCCAAGUCAGCGGUAAAAAUGCGGUGCUCAACGCCGUCGAGCCGUUGAAACUGGCGUUCUUGAGUGGGCGAGAAGUAUGCGGAAUGCGUGGUGUAGCGGUGAAAUGCAUAGAUAUCACGCAGAACUCCGAUUGCGAAGGCAGCAUACCGGCGCCCUACUGACGCUGAGGCACGAAAGCGUGGGUAUCGAACAGG
rnacentral:rRNA from 1 species